rnacentral:rRNA from 1 species
GUUGAACGCUGGCGGCGUGCCUAAUACAUGCAAGUCGAGCGAACAGAUGAGGAGCUUGCUCCUCUGACGUUAGCGGCGGACGGGUGUGUUACACGUGGAUAACCUACCUAUAAGACUGGGAUAACUUCGGGACCCCGGUGCUAAUACCGGCUAAUAUCUUGAACAGCAUGGUUCACUACUGAACGCCGGCUUUGCUGUUACUUAUAGAUGGAUCCGCGCCUGAUUAGCUAGUUGGUGAGGUAACGGCAUACCAAGGCAACGAUGAGUAGCCGACCUGAGAGGAUGAUCAGCCACACUGGGACUGAGACACGGCCCAGACUCCUACGGGAGGCAGCAGUGGGGAAUUUUCCGCAAUGGGCGAAAGCCUGACGGAGCAACGCCGCGUGAGUGAUGAAGGUCUUCGGGUCGUAAAGCACUGUUGUUAGGGAAGAAAAAAUGUGUAAGAAUCUGGGCGCGGCUUGACGGUACCGAAAGAGAAAGCCACGGCUAACUACGUG